CCUACGGGAGGCAGCAGUGAGGAAUAUUGGGCAAUGGACGCAAGUCUGAACCAGCCAUGCCGCGUGCAGGAAGACGGCCCUAUGAGUUGUAAACUCCUUUUGUACGAGGGUAAACGCAGAUACGCGUAUCUGUCUGAAAGUAUCGUACGAAUAAGGAUCGGCUAACUCCGUGCCAGCAGCCGCGGUAAUACGGAGGAUUCAAGCGUUAUCCGGAUUUAUUGGGUUUAAAGGGUGCGUAGGCGGUCGGAUAAGUUAGAGGUGAAAUCCCGAGGCUCAACUUCGGAAUUGCCUGUGAUACUGUUCUGCUAGAGAGUAGGUGCGGUAGGCAGAAUGUAUGGUGUAGCGGUGAAAUGCUUAGAUAUCAUACAGAACACCGAUUGCGAAGGCAGCUUACUAAGCUACUUCUGACGUUGAGGCACGAAAGCGUGGGGAGCAAACAGGAUUAGAUACCCUUGUAGUC
rnacentral:rRNA from 1 species